rnacentral:lncRNA from 1 species
UGUCAGAUUGCUCCAAAUGCUCUCUGAGCUUCGCUAUCAGCCAAUUUUCUACAAUGAUCAACCAUUCUCUAAAUCUCUUCUGGACUUCUUCCAGCCACGGUCGACUCUACUCCGAACUCCUAUUGCAAGCGGAUUUCAUCCGAGCUCCUAUAAGAGUCGGACUCCGUCCGAACUUCUAUAGUGGAUGGAUCCAGAUGAACUUCUACAACGGAUGGGCUCCACCAGCCGGAUCUCUACUCUGAACUUCUUUCAAACUUCAUCAAUGAUCGAGCUUCUCUAACAGCGGGACUUCUACAAUAAGAAGUCUCCAUCCAAGCUUCUACGGC